UACGAAGGGGGCUAGCGUUGCUCGGAAUUACUGGGCGUAAAGCGUGCGCAGGCGGUUUUGUAAGUCUGACGUGAAAUCCCCGGGCUCAACCUGGGAAUUGCGUUGGAGACUGCAAGGCUAGAAUCUGGCAGAGGGGGGUAGAAUUCCACGUGUAGCAGUGAAAUGCGUAGAGAUGUGGAGGAACACCGAUGGCGAAGGCAGCCCCCUGGGUCAAGAUUGACGCUCAUGCACGAAAGCGUGGGGAGCAAACAGG
rnacentral:rRNA from 1 species